UACGAAGGGGGCUAGCGUUGCUCGGAAUUACUGGGCGUAAAGGGCGCGUAGGCGGCACUGUUAGUCAGGCGUGAAAUUCCUGGGCUCAACCUGGGGACUGCGCUUGAUACGGCAGAGCUUGAGGAUGGAAGAGGGUCGCGGAAUUCCCAGUGUAGAGGUGAAAUUCGUAGAUAUUGGGAAGAACACCGGUGGCGAAGGCGGCCUUCUGGACAGUGACUGACGCUGAGACGCGAAAGCGUGGGGAGCAAACAGG
rnacentral:rRNA from 1 species